GGAGGAAAGUGAGAACAUGACAGAAAUAAAUGGGCACUGGAAAGAUGGAUAAUGUAAUUGCUACCAUUAAACUGGAUUCAGCUUUGUAACUGCAAAAGACAAAAGUCUAGGGGCCUAUUGUCAAAGGGUGACUCUUGAAUGUUGAGAGGAUGGUAUCUGUCACUGAGGAUUAUCUGGAACUUGAUGGCCUGAAGGUGAGAGGAGACAAAUCAGGUUCUUACAUUUAGAAGAAUGUUGAGAGCAACUGUCAAAGUCUUACAGUUGAUUAUAAACCACCUUUUGAAGAGGAUCAAAACAGGACAACAAGCAUCUGUGGAUGACAAAACAUAGUACAACAACUACAGUUAGACAUAAUUG
rnacentral:lncRNA from 10 species